rnacentral:rRNA from 1 species
GAUGAACGCUGGCGGCGUGCCUAAUACAUGCAAGUCGAGCGAACAGACGAGGAGCUUGCUCCUCUGACGUUAGCGGCGGACGGGUGAGUAACACGUGGAUAACCUACCUAUAAGACUGGGAUAACUUCGGGAAACCGGAGCUAAUACCGGAUAAUAUAUUGAACCGCAUGGUUCAAUAGUGAAAGACGGUUUUGCUGUCACUUAUAGAUGUAUCCGCGCCGCAUUAGCUAGUUGGUAAGGUAACGGCUUACCAAGGCAACGAUGCGUAGCCGACCUGAGAGGGUGAUCGGCCAAACUGGAACUGGGACACGGUCCAGACUCCUACGGGAGGCAGCAUUAGGGAAUCUUCCGCAAUGGGCGAAAGCUUGACGGAGCAACGCCGCGUGAGUGAUGAAGGUCUUCGGAUCGUAAAACUCUGUUAUUAGGGAAGAACAAAUGUGUAAGUAACUAUGCACGUCUUGACGGUACCUAAUCAGAAAGCCACGGCUAACUACGUG